UGAGGAAUAUUGGACAAUGCCCGCAAGGGUGACCCAGCAACGCCGCGUGGAGGAUGAAUGCCGUAAGGUUGUAAACUCCUGUUAGAGGGGAAGAAUAGUACCGGUUGGACCGGUAUAUGACUGUACCCUCAGAGAAAGCCCCGGCUAACUACGUGCCAGCGGCCGCGGUAAUACGUAGGGGGCAAGCGUUGUCCGGAUUUACUGGGUGUAAAGGGCGCGCAGGCGGGAUAAAAAGUCAGUGGUGAAAUCCUACAGCUUAACUGUAGAACUGCCUUUGAUACUUUUAUUCUUGAGUUCGGGAGAGAGAGACGGAAUUCCAGGUGUAGUGGUGAAAUACGUAGAUAUCUGGAAGAACACCAGUUGCGAAGGCGGUCUCUUGGUCCGACACUGACGCUGAGGCGCGAAAGCGUGGGGAGCAAACA
rnacentral:rRNA from 1 species